CCUACGGGAGGCAGCAGUGAGGAAUAUUGGUCAAUGGGCGGGAGCCUGAACCAGCCAAGCCGCGUGAGGGAAGACGGUCCAACGUAUCGUAAACCUCUUUUGUCAGGGAGCAAAAGCGGGUACUAGUCCCCGAAUGAGAGUACCUGAAGAAAAAGCAUCGGCUAACUCCGUGCCAGCAGCCGCGGUAAUACGGAGGAUGCGAGCGUUAUCCGGAUUUAUUGGGUUUAAAGGGUGCGCAGGCGGCCGUUGAAGUCAGCGGUAAAAGCCCGGGGCUCAACCCCGCCCAGCAGUUGAAACUGGACGGCUUGAGUUGGAGAGAAGCACGCGGAAUUCGCGGUGUAGCGGUGAAAUGCUUAGAUAUCGCGCAGAACCCCGAUUGCGAAGGCAGCGUACCGGCGCCACACUGACGCUGAGGCACGAAGGUGUGGGUAUCGAACAGGAUUAGAUACCCUUGUAGUC
rnacentral:rRNA from 1 species